UGGGGAAUUUUGGACAAUGGGCGAAAGCCUGAUCCAGCAAUGCCGCGUGUGUGAAGAAGGCCUUCGGGUUGUAAAGCACUUUUGUCCGGAAAGAAAUCCUUGGCUCUAAUACAGUCGGGGGAUGACGGUACCAGAAGAAUAAGCACCGGCUAACUACGUGCCAGCAGCCGCGGUAAUACGUAGGGUGCAAGCGUUAAUCGGAAUUACUGGGCGUAAAGCGUGCGCAGGCGGUUUGCUAAGACCGAUGUGAAAUCCCCGGGCUCAACCUGGGAACUGCAUUGGUGACUGGCAGGCUAGAGUAUGGCAGAGGGAGGUAGAAUUCCACGUGUAGCAGUGAAAUGCGUAGAGAUGUGGAGGAAUACCGAUGGCGAAGGCAGCCCCUGGGCCAAUACUGACGCUCAUGCACGAAAGCGUGGGGAGCAAACAGGAUUAGAUACCCUGGUAGUCCACGCCCUAAAACGAUGUCAACUAGUUGUUGGGGAUUCAUUUUCCUUAGUAACGUAGCUAACGCGUGAAGUUGACCGCCUGGGGGAGUACGGUCGCAAGAUUAAAACUCAAAGGAAUUGACGGGG
rnacentral:rRNA from 1 species